GGCCGGUUAGCUCAGUUGGUAGAGCAUGGUGCUGACAACACCAAGGUCAAGGGUUCUAUCCCCUUACUGGCCA